AAUACUGAUAGAGGUGCAGGUAGAUGAGUAACGUGACUGAGUCCGGUUUGACGAGGAUGUUACGUGAAAGGUGAUCCUGCCGAAGUUCCUGGCCGAUUCCGCGUCUUUGAGCUGGUGGACAGUUGAAUAAACUGUCUAUUGUCACUGUCAUUGCAGUGGAGCACUAUCCUGAUA
rnacentral:ncRNA from 2 species